rnacentral:ncRNA from 1 species
GGUUGAUUUCAUUGUGUCAAGGACGAGAAAAAUGAAGGAGAAGAAAAGUAAAGAAUGUAUUUGAAAACAAAAUGAAAUUCGUUUCAUUGUGUCAAAAUUGUACAGCUAAGUUUUUAUAUUAAAAAGAUUCAUUGAUAGAAUGUCAAUCACAUUUUUACUCGAAAGAAUGACUCUUUAAAUAGUAAAGAAUUGCAAUUAUCUCCCUUGAACGAGGAAUUCCUAGUAUGUGUGAGUCAUCAGCUCACGUUUGAUUACGUCCCUGCCCUUUGUACACACCGCCCGUCGCUGCCCGGGAUGAGCCGUUUCGAGAAAAGCGGAGACUGCUGUUUCGAGACCUUUCGAGGUGGAGAUUCUUUGGUGGGAACCCGCCUUAAUCGCAGUGGCUUGAACCGGGCAAAAGUCAUGGUCCGAUGCUUAGAAAGAAUGCAA